rnacentral:rRNA from 1 species
GCCUACGGGGGGCAGCAGUAGGGAAUUUUCGGCAAUGGGGGGAACCCUGACCGAGCAACGCCGCGUGAACGAAGAAGUUAUUCGUAAUGUAAAGUUCUUUUAUCAGGGAAGAAAGAGGAAUUUGACGGUACCUGAGGAAUAAGCUCCGGCUAACUACGUGCCAGCAGCCGCGGUAAUACGUAGGGAGCGAGCGUUAUCCGGAAUUAUUGGGCGUAAAGGGUGCGUAGAUGGCAUAGUAAGUCUUUUGUAAAAAUGCUGGGCUCAACCCAGUAGGGCAAAAGAUACUGCAAAGCUAGAGUAUGACA